AGUGAACGCUGGCGGUAGGCCUAACACAUGCGAGUCGAACGACAGCACAGUAAGAGCUUGCUCUUACGGGUGGCGAGUGGCGGACGGGUGAGGAAUACAUCGGAAUCUACUUUUUCGUGGGGGAUAACGUAGGGAAACUUACGCUAAUACCGCAUACGACCUACGGGUGAAAGCAGGGGAUCUUCGGACCUUGCGCGAUUGAAUGAGCCGAUGUCGGAUUAGCUAGUUGGCGGGGUAAAGGCCCACCAAGGCGACGAUCCGUAGCUGGUCUGAGAGGAUGAUCAGCCACACUGGAACUGAGACACGGUCCAGACUCCUACGGGAGGCAGCAGUGGGGAAUAUUGGACAAUGGGCGCAAGCCUGAUCCAGCCAUACCGCGUGGGUGAAGAAGGCCUUCGGGUUGUAAAGCCCUUUUGUUGGGAAAGAAAAGCAGCAGGUUAAUACCCCGCUGUUCCGACGGUACCCAAAGAAUAAGCACCGGCUAACUUCGUG
rnacentral:rRNA from 1 species